UGUUUAUUUUCUCAAUUACAGGAUUAAUUAAUUUUAUCAUUUAUUUCAUUGCAGAGAUUUAUACAACAACACAGACAGUCAGAUUUCACCUGCAGUCAACACCCUAUAUCUUCAUGAUCAUCACACUUCCUUUUUGCCUCCUUUCCAACUCCAAGUGGAAGGAUUGGCAUCUGGUCCUGUUCAAGAAGAAAACCAGCUGGAUUUACAAGCGAAUUUCAGGUUAGAGUCCAAGAAAAAGAGCCGGAAAUCGCAAGAUUUUCUAGAGAACUCUAAUAAUAAAAAUUCCCAGAUAUCUUGUGUAGAAUUCUUGCAGGCACAAAAGGUAUCAACCGGGUUCGGGUUGUCGUUGGAGCCAACUUCGGCUCUUCUUGGGCUUGUGGGCGAUGGUCUUGAUCGUGAUUCUCAAAGGCAAGGUGCCGAGACUGAUAGAUAUAUCAAAUUUCAGGUGAGAAAUUUCAGUUCUACAUUUUUAUUUAUUUUGUGUCAAAGAAAUGUUAAUAUUUUUUUAAUUUUAUUUUUCAUUAUCUAAAUAUUGUACAUUGGGAUGUAGAAAUUUUGCUUUGAUGAGCUAUAUAAAUGUCUGCAUGUGCUUUUAAAUGUCUCAGUACAAACUUGAAAUUGGAGAGUGAAGCUUUUAAGGGAAUUCUUUUUCUGAUUA